GGUGAUUCCACCUGCCUUGGCCUCCCAAAGUGCUGGGAUUUGAGCCACCGCACCUGGCCUAUUUUGGUGUUUUAAUAGUUUUUUAUGGUUGUUGCAGCAGUAGUAUUGUGUUGCUGUGACCUAUAUCCUACCCAUCGAUUACUGUAAGUUUUUAUUAAGUCUUGGUAUCUUGUCAAACAAGUUCUCUUUCCCCAUCUUCAAAUAUAUGUUGGCUAUUUGGGGGCAUAACUCUUCCACAUGAAUUUUUGAAUCCAUUUAUCUAGUUUCCAAAAACACCUGUUAGGAUCUUGUUGGCAAAUAUAUUUAUAAGUAGUCAGAAUUUAAAUUUUCAUGCUUUUGAGCUCUCCAUCCAUAAAUAUGGUAUGCCUAUCCAUUGAACAAAUUUCUAUCAGGCCUUUCAAUAAUGUCUUGUACUUUUCUCCAUAAAGAAUUGCACUUAAAAAAAAAAAAGAUACAGGGUCUUGCUCUGUCACCCAGGCUGGAGUACAGUGGCACAACCAUAGUUCACUAUAGCCUCAAACUCCUGGGCUCAAGAGAUCCUCCUUCCCCAGCCUCCCGAGUAGCUAGGACUACAGACUCAUGCUACCACACUUGGCUUUUUUUUUUGUUUGUUUUUUGUUUUUUUUUUUCCUGUAGAGACAGGGUCUUGCUGUAUUGCCCAGACUGGUUUUGAACUCCUGGCCUCAUGUAAUCCUCCCACCUUGGCCUCCCUAAGUGCUGGGAUUACAGGUAUGAGCCACCAUGCUUGGCUAGGAAUUGCACAUUGUUUGAUUUGAUCCUCAAUCACUUAGGAUCUUUAUUCGUUUUUUAAAGCACUUUUUGUUUAUUAGAAUAGGUAAUAUAUUUACCAAUUUCUAAAAACUUAAAAGUAUACAUUGAUAAUUUCCCACCCCUUUACCUCAGGCACCCAAUUCUCCUCCAGAAAAAAACCAAUGUUACCAAUUUCUCUAUUGGCUUUCAAUGUGCUUACUAUUUGUAUAUAGUAGUUAUAUUAAAUUUUGUUCCUCGAUCUUGCAACUAGAAAUCCAGCUGAAUUAUUUUUAGUAUUUGUAAGUUAUUUUGGAUUUUAUACACAUACACACCAUCAACAUCAUUACCUGCAAAGGGCAGUCAUUUUGUUGCUUCUUUUCCAUUCUUUAUUCCUUUCACUGAUGUUACUGCAUUGGCUAGGAUAUCUCUAAAUAAAGUAGCUGUUAAAGUAGCUGGAUAGUAGCUGUGAUAGAGGGCAACCUUGUCUUAUUCUUGACUUUAACGAGAUCGCUUCUGUUUCAUUUGCUAUAGGUUCUCAAUAAAAGUCUUUAUCAGGUUAAAAAAAAAGUUACCUAUUUUGCUAAGAAUGAGUAGCAUGAAUAUUUUAAUCAAGUUAUUUUCUGUACCUAUUGAAAUGAUCCUAUGGUUUUUCUCCUUUAACCUAUUAAAUGUGCUGAAUCACUCAUAGAAAAAAAAAUAGUAGUCUCAAACACUUUUA
rnacentral:lncRNA from 10 species